rnacentral:rRNA from 1 species
AGUGAACGCUGGCGGUAGGCCUAACACAUGCGAGUCGAACGGCAGCACAGUAAGAGCUUGCUCUUACGGGUGGCGAGUGGCGGACGAGUGAGGAAUACAUCGGAAUCUACUUUUUCGUGGGGGAUAACGUAGGGAAACUUACGCUAAUACCGCAUACGACCUACGGGUGAAAGCAGGGGAUCUUCGGACCUUGCGCGAUUGAAUGAGCCGAUGUCGGAUUAGCUAGUUGGCGGGGUAAAGGCCCACCAAGGCGACGAUCCGUAGCUGGUCUGAGAGGAUGAUCAGCCACACUGGAACUGAGACACGGUCCAGACUCCUACGGGAGGCAGCAGUGGGGAAUAUUGGACAAUGGGCGCAAGCCUGAUCCAGCCAUACCGCGUGGGUGAAGAAGGCCUUCGGGUUGUAAAGCCCUUUUGUUGGGAAAGAAAAGCAGCAGGUUAAUACCCCGCUGUUCUGACGGUACCCAAAGAAUAAGCACCGGCUAACUUCGUG